GAUGAACGCUAGCUACAGGCUUAACACAUGCAAGUCGAGGGGAAACGGCAUCGAAAGCUUGCUUUUGAUGGGCGUCGACCGGCGCACGGGUGAGUAACGCGUAUCCAACCUGCCCAUCACUUGGGAAUAACCUUGCGAAAGUAAGACUAAUGCCCAAUGACAUCCCACGAAGGCAUCCGAAUGGGAUUAAAGAUUUAUCGGUGAUGGAUGGGGAUGCGUCUGAUUAGCUUGUUGGCGGGGUGACGGCCCACCAAGGCAACGAUCAGUAGGGGUUCUGAGAGGCAGCUCCCCCACAUUGGAACUGCGACACGGUCCACACUCCUACGGGAGGCAGCAGUGAGGAAUACUGGUCACUGGGCGAGAGCCUGAACCAGCCAAGUAGCGUGCAGGAUGACGGCCCUAUGGGUUGUAAACUGCUUUUAUAAGGGAAUAAAGUGGGUCACGUGUGACUUUUUGCCUGUACCUUAUGAAUAAGGACCGGCUAAUUCCGUG
rnacentral:rRNA from 1 species